GAUGGACUUUUGGAGCCUUUGGCCUUGGUUUGAGGGUGGGCACCCUCAGGGCCCUUGAGGGGUUUCAGCCCCAGCAUCUCACAGGUAGCCAUCCAUCCAGGACAGAGAGGUAGGAGCACAACACUGGGAGAGACGAGCUUCACAUCCUCGUGAGCAUAACACAUGCUCUCAGAACCCAGGGAGCAUUCUAGCUGUAGAAGAGAGGACAGCAGGCCUAUCCUGGUCUAAUCCUCAGCUGUGAAGAGAGGACAGCAGGCCUAUCCUGGUCUAACCCUCAGCUGUGAAGAGAGGACAGCAGGCCUAUCCUGGUCUAACCCUCAGCUGUGAAGAGAGGACAGCAGGCCUAUCCUGGUCUAACCCUCAGCUGUGAAGAGAGGACAGCAGGCUAUCCCUGGACAUUAAGAAGCUCCUGCAUGGAGGACUCUAACUUCAUGUUCUUUCAGUGCUUACUCUGUCUUGUGUUAUACGAAUGAUCCCUUACACUUGCAUGGAAUGUUAAUUUGCCAAAGGCCUCCCAAAAUGUAGGGUCUGAGCAUUAUAAAGACACCGUCUGAGAGAAUGAAAGGCAGCUCCAGCCAAGAAAGACUGAAUGACCUGAUCUGCUUGGGCUCUGGUGCUUGUUGUUUACAAGAGCGUCUGACUAUAUAGCGCAGGCUAAUAUCCUGGCUCGGUGUCCCAAGUGCUGUGAGUUAAUGUAUUGAAUAACAAUGGCUUGGUAUGUCACCUAGCUACACACACACACACACACACACACACACACACACACCCCUCAGGUAGCCCAGGCUAACCACACACCUCUCAGGUAGCCCAGGCUAACUUCAAAUUCACUGUGUAGCCAAAGAUGACCACAAACUCCUGCUCCUUCUGUUCCUACUUGCAGAUGCCGGGACAGUUGGCCUGUGUUCCAGAAGGAGUCUCACUUGUUGCCCAAGCUGACAGAAAACUCAAGACUCUUUUGGCUUCAUGACUCCUCGGUUCGAUGCACGUAGCACCAUGUAUGGCACUGACGCUCUUUGCUCUAUGGUAGUGCAGAGUUUUGGAGGUUUGGGGGUGAGAAAGUCAAGAGCGGGUGGCAGGCAGUUCGGGAAAGCUGGCUGUGGGUUUACAUUACAUUCCACGAGGAGCCCGAGAAAACAACUUCCUUUUAAAUUGUAAGCGGCCUGAACUGCACUUCUUUACGUGCAGUUGGGAACAGGGUGCCAUUGGGGACCCCAGUGCUUGGAGACGGAGGCCAGUCUCGUCUACAUAUUAAGUUCCAGGGCAGCUGGGGUUGUACAGCAAAACAUGCCCAAAAAAUUAAAACUAUUUUAUGUAACUUUGUGUAGGGUGAUGUCAUACAGGUGAAGGCAAGUACAAGAUAGAACGA
rnacentral:sRNA from 1 species